UGAGCAACCUGCCCUUGACUCUGGAAUAACAGCUGGAAACAGCUGCUAAUACCGGAUACGACCUCCGAUGGCAUCAUCUGGAGGUGGAAAGCUCCGACGGUCAAGGAUGGGCUCGCGGCCUGUCAGCUUGUUGGUGAGGUAACGGCUCACCAAGGCUUCGACGGGUAGCCGGCCGUGAGGAGGGCGGACCGGCCGACACUGGGACGUGAGAUACGGCCCACGACUCUACCGGGACGGG
rnacentral:rRNA from 1 species